rnacentral:miRNA from 1 species
GGUUUUGGCGGGGGCGGUGGGGGGCGGGUCAUGCCCAGCUGUGCCCAG